CAACGUUUAUCAAGCAUAGGUCAUUGUGUGCCAUAUGGGUUGGUUGUCCUCUUAACCAAGGAGUGUGGAGAUACUGGUAUGGCAUACAGGUGAGAUGUAAGGGUACAUCUGCACUGAACGUGAUCGAUUCCGGAGCUAUUUCUGCUCUCAAGAUUUACUCCGAUGGGAUAUAGGUAUAAAUGUCCCUCCGACCUGAGAUCGCCACGGUGACUUGCAAGCAACUCACUGCACUUAGACACUGGACUACCUGAAUUUCUAAUUCAGUGACGGAAGGAUGCUGGGUGUAGUCAAGUACUUG
rnacentral:lncRNA from 1 species